GACGAACGCUGGCGGCGUGCUUAACACAUGCAAGUCGAGCGAUGAAGUUCCUUCGGGAAUGGAUUAGCGGCGGACGGGUGAGUAACACGUGGGUAACCUGCCUCAUAGAGGGGAAUAGCCUUCCGAAAGGAAGAUUAAUACCGCAUAAGAUUGUAGUAUCGCAUGAUACAGCAAUUAAAGGAGCAAUCCGCUAUGAGAUGGACCCGCGUCGCAUUAGCUAGUUGGUGAGGUAACGGCACACCAAGGCGACGAUGCGUAGCCGACCUGAGAGGGUGAUCGGCCACAUUGGGACUGAGACACGGCCCAAACUCCUACGGGAGGCAGCAGUGGGGAAUAUUGCACAAUGGGGGAAACCCUGAUGCAGCAACGCCGCGUGAGUGAUGAAGGUCUUCGGAUUGUAAAACUCUGUCUUCAGGGACGAUAAUGACGGUACCUGAGGAGGAAGCCACGGCUAACUACGUGCCAGCCGCCGCCGUAAUAC
rnacentral:rRNA from 1 species